CGUGAAAUUGUUGAAAGGGAAACGAUUGAAGCCAGUCGUACCGGCGGGUAAUCAGCCUUUUUGGUGUGAUUAUGUGGAGCGUGAGGAGCUAAUCACCUUCAUGCCUGCAUAUUCGUGCACUUUUGGGGUACUUUCUCGUGUGGUAGGUUAACAUCAAUUUUUAUCGUCCUAAAAUGGGUGGGGGAAUGUAGCUUCGAUCUCGUAUUUAAGUGUUAUAGCCUUCGGCAGAUGUGAUGAUUGGGGUUGAGGAU
rnacentral:rRNA from 1 species